rnacentral:rRNA from 1 species
UUUAGAGUUUGAUCCUGGCUCAGGAUGAACGCUAGCGGCAGGCCUAAUACAUGCAAGUCGAGGGGCAGCACGGUGUAGCAAUACACUGGUGGCGACCGGCGCACGGGUGCAUAACACGUAUGUAAUUUGCCCAUAACUGGGGGAUAGCCUUCCGAAAGGAAGAUUAAUACCCCAUAACACAGCGGAGAGGCAUCUCUCUGUUGUUAAAACUCCGGUGGUUAUGGAUAAGCAUGCGUCCGAUUAGCUAGUUGGCGAGGUAACGGCUCACCAAGGCAACGAUCGGUAGGGGGUGUGAGAGGAUGAUCCCCCACACGGGUACUGAGACACGGACCCGACUCCUACGGGAGGCAGCAGUAAGGAAUAUUGGACAAUGGAGGCAACUCUGAUCCAGCCAUGCCGCGUGAAGGAUGAAGGCGCUACGCGUUGUAAACUUCUUUUCUCUGAGAAAAAACAUCUGGUUUCGUACCGGAUCUGAUUGACAAGAGGAAUAAGCUCGCA